rnacentral:tRNA from 1 species
GCCUUCCUGGUGUAAUGGUCAGCACACUUGUCGUGUAUUCAAGAGGUCUGUGGUUCGAGUCCCGGCGAGGACA